UACGUAGGGAGCAAGCGUUAUCCGGAAUUAUUGGGUGUAAAGGGUGCGUAGACGGGAGUCUAAGUUAGUUGUGAAAUCCCUCGGCUCAACUGAGGAACUGCAACUAAAACUGGACAUCUUGAGUGCAGGAGAGGAAAGUGGAAUUCCUAGUGUAGCGGUGAAAUGCGUAGAUAUUAGGAGGAACACCAGUGGCGAAGGCGACUUUCUGGACUGUAACUGACGUUGAGGCACGAAAGUGUGGGGAGCGAACAGG
rnacentral:rRNA from 1 species